GAGAGGCCUACAGAGGUACCCCACAGUACAGAUCUACAAAGGAAAGCUCUAACUUCAGAAGCCUGAUCCAGUCAAAUGAAGGAAAGCAAAGGACUUUGAACAUCUGGGACUGAACAUAGGAGGAGUCUGAGGCAAGGUGAACUACCACUUUGACAAGCAGGAUGGCCUGAUCACCGCCCCAUGAAAACUGCAGAAACAUGUUUGAUGU
rnacentral:lncRNA from 1 species